rnacentral:rRNA from 1 species
CACGUAGGGUGCAAGCGUUGUCCGGAAUUAUUGGGUGUAAGAGCUCGUAGGCGGCCUGUCACGUCGGACUGUGAAAACCUAGGGCUCGAACCCUGGGCCUGCAGUCGAUACGGGCAGGCUUGAGUGUGGUAGGGGAGACUGGAAUUCCUGGUGUAGCGGUGAAAUGCGCGAUAUCAGGAGGAACACCGGUGGCGAAGGCGGGUCUCGUGGGCCAUUACUGACGCUGAGGAGCGAAGCGUGGGGAGCGAACAGG